GACGAAGGAUGCAAGCGUUUAUCCGGAUUCAUUGGGUUUAAAGGGAGCGUAGGUGGUCUUCUAAGUCAGUGGUGAAAUCUCUCGGCUUAACUGAGAAAAUUGCCAUUGAUACUGGGAGACUUGAGUGUAGUUCCGUUGGCGGAAUAUGACAUGUAGUGGUGAAAAUACAUAGAGAUGUCAUAGAACACCAUUGCGAAGGCAGCUAACGAAAACUAUA
rnacentral:rRNA from 1 species